AAACAUUGUCAUUAUUUUUCAGAUAAGAAGAGUGAGACUCAAAGGGGGAUAAAAUAGAUGAGGCUUGAUGUCUUAGGAGCAUUGCCCUGGCUCAGAAGUUAGGAUCAACUUCAAAGCCACAGGAGGAACUUGGAUUAUGGAGGAUUUUAGACCAUGAAGACUUCAGCACAGAUGGAAACAUUUGGGACACCAUUGUGAAUCAACACAUCCAC